UACAGCAUAUAGUGCCUCGGUCCCCGCGAUGAUCAACAUCUGGGGCUAAGAGGGAAGCCGGUGCAAGUCCGGCGCUGCCCCCGCAACUGUGAGCGGCGAGCCGACGUCCAUGUGAAGUCACUGGGGCUUGAGGGUUCCGGGAAGACGGACGAAGGCAACGACCCGCGAGCCAGGAGACCUGCCGCAGCACGGUACGAAGC
rnacentral:ncRNA from 1 species